UUAAGUUUCAGUGAAUAUUAAUUGUUUUAAAGUCCAUCAAUUCUUAUAAUAUAUUUAGAAUUCUCCUAUCAUGUAAACAACGAUAAAUAUUCAAGUGUUACAUAUCAAAAUAUGUAACACAUUAAGUUGAGAUUCAUAAAAGGGCUUAAGGAACUAAAGUUUAUAGCAUCUAAUAUUUUAGUUAUUCAAUUGAAGCACUAUGUUG
rnacentral:lncRNA from 1 species